rnacentral:rRNA from 1 species
GAUGAACGCUGGCGGCGUGCCUAAUACAUGCAAGUCGAGCGAACAGACGAGGAGCUUGCUCCUCUGACGUUAGCGGCGGACGGGUGAGUAACACAUGGAUAACCUACCUAUAAGACUGGGAUAACUUCGGGAAACCGGAGCUAAUACCGGAUAAUAUAUUGAACCGCAUGGUUCAAUAGUGAAAGACGGUUUUGCUGUCACUUAUAGAUGGAUCCGCGCCGCAUUAGCUAGUUGGUAAGGUAACGGCUUACCAGGGCAACGAUGCGUAGCCGACCUGAGAGGGUGAUCGGCCACACUGGAACUGAGACACGGUCCAGACUCCUACGGGAGGCAGCAGUAGGGAAUCUUCCGCAAUGGGCGAAAGCUUGACGGAGCAACGCCGCGUGAGUGAUGAAGGUCUUCGGAUCGUAAAACUCUGUUAUUAGGGAAGAACAAAUGUGUAAGUAACUAUGCACGUCUUGACGGUACCUAAUCAGAAAGCCACGGCUAACUACGUG